rnacentral:tRNA from 1 species
GGAUACGUGCCUGAAAUUUAAGGGCUACCUUGAUAGGGUAUACUAUAGAGGUUUAAACCCUCUCGUUUCCU